AUUGUAUUACUUUCGUGUCAGAAUCGCACGCUAAAUGGCCAUGAAGUGGUUUUCAGCAAGAUAACAUGAAAGUUUCUGGGAAUAUUAGUUUCCUAUUUUAAUAAUUAAUUUGAAAUAAACAAAACUUCUGGAGUUUGAUGUGACGUAGCAGCAGGAGAAGUGGCGAAUUAAAUGGUGAAAAAUGUAUUGACAACCAAACAACAGCAAAACAUCUACUCUAUGCUGAUUACCAUAGACCAUAUGCUGAUAACCACUGAAUUAAUGACUUCAGCUAGUUCAGUAGCAUGAGGUAUGAGUUAUUUGUGAAGCAAGAAUUUGUGCGAAACAAUGCUGGUGAAUAAACUCUCAUCUGUGCACACUCUCUAGCAAAAAGAAGGCAUUUUCAUUAAAUUACAUCUAUAAGAUGUUUCUCAAGCGAAAGAAGCAUGCAAAAUAGCAUGAAUUAUUCUAACCCUAACGAACAACUGCAUGCUACCUAACCGAGGCAUCACUUUUAAAAUUUGAAGAAGUCUGGUGUGUCUGCUCACAUGAAUGGAAGUGCAGUGAAGUUGCACAUAAUAUAGUGUUGAUCUCAAUUCUUGUGCAACAAGUAAUAUCCUGUUUUGGACAGAAUAUUCGUGGAAUACUCUUCAUAACUAAUGUGCCUAAGGAUGCCUACAGUGAAUGGUGUCUGAGGCUGAAUUCUCGCAAAACCUAUGGUGUAUUAUACUGAGUGUGGCAUACCUUAUUAUUUGCAUAACAAGUAAUUUCUCGAUUUGGCAAGAACAUCGCUGCAUGUCUACUGCUGUUUAUGGGGCGCAAGGAUGGCUGUACAGCUACAGUAUGCAUGGAAGCUCAUGCUGUCUGCUCGAGUAAUUACAAUGCAUUACAUUGCCUGUGCUUUUUAUUAUUGCUACGUAACAAAUAAUUUAUAAAUUUAGGAAGAAUAUCGCUGCAUUUCUCCACUGUUUUUGGAUCCCGAGGAUAUAUUCUGCGAGAAUCGAGCAAGACUGCAAGCCAAAUCUACAGUGAAGUGUUGGCUGAGAGUAUACACUGUUUAUGUCAGUACAUGUGGAACUGGUGUAGUCAUAACCUGGACAUUAAACAACUGCAGUGGUACUCUUGCUUCAUGAGUCAACGUUAAAAAUAAACUCAGUACUUUGAUCGUGCUUGGGACGGACAAUUACUGCUAGACCAUCAUGUCUUCCAUUAGUUUAAGGAAGUUUAUUCUUGUUCUGUUGUCAACAGUCCAGUGCAUACAAACUGACAAAUUGAUACACAUGUGAUAUUAUCUUUUGUGGUGUUUCAUGUUGGGUGCUAUUAAAACUACUUGAAUAUUAA